rnacentral:rRNA from 1 species
AUUGAACGCUGGCGGCAGGCCUUACACAUGCAAGUCGAACGAGUGGCGGACGGGUGAGUAGUGUCUGGGACACUCCCUGAUGGAGGGGGAUAACUACUGGAAAGGGGAGCUAAUACCGCAUACCAUCGGGUGUGCCCAGAUGGGAUUAGCUCAUAGGUGGGGUCAAGGCUCACCUAGGCGACGAGCCCUAGCUGGUCUGAGAGGUGGACGAGCCACCCUUGAACGGAGACACGGCCCAGACUCCUACGGGAGGCAGCAGUGGGGAAGAUUGCACAAUGGGCGCAAGCCUGAUGCAGCCAUGUCGCGUGUAUGAAGAAGGCCUUCGGGUUGUAAAGUACUUUCGGCGGGGAGGCGUUACCCGCAGAAGAAGCACCGGCUAACUCCGUGCCAGCAGCCGCGGUAAUAC